rnacentral:rRNA from 1 species
AGUCGAGGGGCAGCACGUGAGGCACAAUGCUGAUGGUGGCGACCGGCGGAUGGGUGAGUAACACGUAUGCAACCUACCUCCAACACGGGCAUAACCCGGAGAAAUCCGGACUAAUUCCCGAUGACACAGGGGCCCCGCAUGGGGAUAUUUGUUAAAGUACAAUCGGUUGGAGAUGGGCAUGCGUUCCAUUAGUUAGUUGGUAAGGUAACGGCUUACCAAGACGUCGAUGGAUAGGGGAACUGAGAGGUUUAUCCCCCACACUGGGACUGAGACACGGCCCAGACUCCUACGGGAGGCAGCAGUGAGGAAUAUUGGUCAAUGGGCGAGAGCCUGAACCAGCCAAGUCGCGUGAAGGAAGAAGGUUCUAUGGAUUGUAAACUUCUUUUGUAAGGGAAUAAAAAGAGUUACGUGUAACUUAUUGUAUGUACUUUACGAAAUAAGGAUCGGCUAACUCCGUGCCAGCAGCCGGCGGUAAUACGGAGGAUCCAAGCGUUAUCCGGAUUUAUUGGGUUUAAAGGGUGCGUAGGCGGACCCGUUAGUCAGUGGUGAAAGUUUGCAGCUCAACUGUAAAAUUGCCAUUGAAACUGCGGGUCUUGAGUGUAAAUAAGGUAGGCGGAAUGUGUUGUGUAGCGGUGAAAUGCUUAGAUAUAACACAGAACACCAAUUGCGAAGGCAGCUUACUGGGAUACAACUGACGCUGAGGCACGAAAGCGUGGGGAUCAAACAGGAUUAGAUACCCUGGUAGUCCACGCAGUAAACGAUGAAUACUAGCUGUAUGCGAUAUACUGUAUGUGGCAAAGCGAAAGCGUUAAGUAUUCCACCUGGGGAGUACGUUCGCAAGAAUGAAACUCAAAGGAAUUGACGGGGGCCCGCACAAGCGGAGGAACAUGUGGUUUAAUUCGAUGAUACGCGAGGAACCUUACCCGGGCUUGAAAUGCAGACGACCGACUUGGAAACAGGUCUUCCCAGCAAUGGCGUCUGUGUAGGUGCUGCAUGGUUGUCGUCAGCUCGUGCCGUGAGGUGUCGGCUUAAGUGCCAUA